rnacentral:snRNA from 1 species
AUCGCUUCCCGGCCUUUGGCUAAGAUCAAGUGUAGUAUCUCUUCUUAUCAGUUUAAUAUCUGAUAUGUCCUCUAUCCAAGGAUAUUAUAUUAAACUAGAGGCCUGAUGCACGAAAUUCAU